rnacentral:sRNA from 2 species
ACACCGAAAGGAGGUGAUCCGAGUAGUGAAGACUUUUCGGACGCGUGAGGUGACUGCGCGCUAGCGCAGCCGUCCCGACUUUCCACCCGUCACCUAUCCGGUGCGGACAGGUCGGUCAACGGACGGGUGAGCUGCGAAAUCCAACGCAGUCACCGGGGCCCGCGGGUAUACCCGGCAUCGUCCAACCGGGUAGUCGAUCUCGAUCGGCAGCCCGCGGGCUUCACUGC